CCUCCAGAUGUUGCUGAACUACAACUCCCAUGAUUCUACAAAUGAAAUAGGCUGAGAAUCAUGGGAGUUGUAGUUCAGCAACAUCUGAAGG
rnacentral:miRNA from 1 species